CCUACCGCUGGUAUUCAUGUGCAUUCCAUUUGUUGAGUUUAUCAUACAUGGUUUCCAUACGACUUCACCUAUUUGCGAUGUCCAUAGUUUCAGACUUUCAGUACUGGUUAGUACAUGCAUAUUGCUAGUGCUGUUUAUGUCUUCAUAUCUUCAUAUAUCAUAUAAGUUACUCACUGCAUUUACCGACUUUCGGACCACUUGAGCUCGAGUCUAGUAAUUUUGCACAUUUCAUAUGGUAGUUGAUUUCUGUGUCCAUGGUUUAGGUUUAGACUUUCAGUGGAACGUUCAUAUGACAUUACAUAAUUUCCGCCAUCCAGUGGUAUGUUCGGAUGACUGAACAUAGUUUCAGACUUCAAGUUCGUUCAUACGACUGAAUAUAGUUCGUACCAGCGACCAUCGUUUCAAACUUAACAUUUUCUAUCUUCAUAGUGUCACUUCCAGUGGUAGUUAGUAUAGGCAUAUUGCUAGUGCUGUUUGUAUCUUCAUAGCUUUGUAUAUUUCCUUGCAUUUGCUGAGUUUAGUUGCACUUGAGCCUAACACUUGUUAGACAUUUGUAUAUGUCUUCUUCAAACUAGUAACCACCGCCCCACGCACAGAUCUGUGGAUCUCAGCCGCCCGUAAUGCGUGCGAUGGGUUUGCUUACUCCUUCCUGUUUUUUCUGUCCCGAUUGUGGUGGAUCCUUUCACGUUUGAUUUCUGGUCAGUUUUGGUGUGCUCCGUGCAGGUCUACCCAGAGGGGACUCAGAUCGUCAUCCCGUGAUUUGUGAGGCCGAUCAUCUAUGACGUCCGUGCACAACCCAACCUCGUGGAGAGCACCUCUGGCCUCCGGGAGCCGGCUCCAGAUGGUGCGAACUGGUCUUCGUGUCCUUACAUGACCCAUGCCAGAGAGACUACCAUGUACAGGACCCGGGGGAGAACUACAAUGAGAGAGUGUUUCCUUCAAUCAUUCAUAAACAUUCAAAGUUGUGGUUGCCCAAUACAGAGAGAGGGAGAUCAGGAAUAUUCUGACAGAGAGGGCCAGAAAUUUCAUUACCAUUCUCAGUUUUGGUAAAGAGUUGGUUCAUGCCAUUGAAGCCAAACAGUAUGCUGUGCAGGAAGCUGAGCAUGCCAAGCUCAUUGUUGAGAAGGACGAGGAAGACAAGAAAAGUGCAAUUAUCAGGGCACAGAUGAGCAAAACAGAUACUAGAUAAUUUCUCUUUCAUACAACUUCACCUACUUUCCCUGUCCUUGUUAAUGACAACUUCAGGUACGGUCACAAUGCAGCUACAGAGAAGUACGAGGAUUUGAUGGCUGCUAGUAUGAUUGAUCCUACCAACGUACAGGGAAGUACUCC